AGAGUUUGAUCCUGGCUCAGGACGAACGCUGGCGGCGUGCUUAACACAUGCAAGUCGAACGAGACGAUUAAAAGCUUGCUUUUGAAAGUCGAGUGGCAAACGGGUGAGUAACGCGUAGACAACCUGCCGUAAAGAUGGGGACAACAGUCCGAAAGGACUGCUAAUACCGAGUGUUGUGGAACUUCUGCAUGGGAGCUCUACUAAAGAUGGCCUCUACUUGUAAGCUAUCGCUUUACGAUGGGUCUGCGUCUGAUUAGCUAGUUGGUGGGGUAACGGCUUACCAAGGCGACGAUCAGUAGCCGGUCUGAGAGGAUGAACGGCCACAUUGGAACUGAGACACGGUCCAGACUCCUACGGGAGGCAGCAGUGGGGAAUCUUCCGCAAUGGGCGCAAGCCUGACGGAGCAACGCCGCGUGAGUGAAGAAGGGUUUCGACUCGUAAAGCUCUGUUGUCGGGGACGAAUGUGGAGGUUGUGAAUAACAGCUUCCAAUGACGGUACCUGACGAGGAAGCCACGGCUAACUACGUGCCAGCAGCCGCGGUAAUACGUAGGUGGCGAGCGUUGUCCGGAANUUAUUGGGCGUAAAGGGAGCGCANGUGGGAGAUCAAGUCUAUCUUUAAAAGUGCGGGGCUCAACCCCGUGAGGGGAUGGAAACUGGUCUUCUUGAGUGCAGGAGAGGAAAGCGGAAUUCCUAGUGUAGCGGUGAAAUGCGUAGANNUUAGGAGGAACACCAGUUGGCGGAUGGCGGCUUUCUGGACUUGUUAACUGACGCUGANGCUCNNANGCGUGGGGAGCGGAGCAGGAUUANNUANCCU
rnacentral:rRNA from 1 species